rnacentral:rRNA from 1 species
AUGAAGAAGGAGGAGCCCGCGUCACCGCCGCGCUCCUCCCGUCGAGCCCCCGUCCUGGCCCCCUUCACCAUCAACCCUAGGCCCGCCGGCGAGCGCGACCGGCAGUACCUCGCGGUGGACGUGUGCCGGAGGUACUGGGAGACGAGGACGCCGGUCCCGUGGAGUGACAUCCACCUCCCCAACGGAUGGCACCUCGCCGACCGGGUCCCGAUCCCUCCUGUGCUGGCGAGCGGCCGCGCGCGCCGCCCGAGCGCCGCCGCCGCCUCCUCCCGGACGACCUGUUCUACGACGACAGCGGAGGAGGAGGCCCGUCUCCUCAAGCGUGUCAUGGACGACUCCAUGUACACGCACGACGAACGGCAGUGGGACGGCCUGGAGGAGGCCAUGGCCCUCUCUGCCGCCAGGGACAUCGCCUUCCCGGAGCUGCAGAUGGUGGCUGUGGAGGAGAGGAGGAAGGCGCCGGCCGCGUUCCAGCAGCUGCUGGGCAAGGGGUGGGGCUGGUCCUGCACUGCUCCGGAGAUGGCCGCCGGCAUGGGCGUGAACUGGUGCCCCACUCCGCCGCGGUCACCGGAGCGGGAGGCGUCGCCACGGGAGGAGGUGGUGCAGGCACCUCCAGCCGUCCAGCCCGACCCCGUCCACCACGCACCUCCGGCCCACCUGUGGACGCCGCCGGCCUACGUCGACCUCGUCAGCGACGACGACGACACCGACGGUCAGUGA